GGUUGUAUAGUGUAGCGGUUAGCACUUCGGAUUCUGAUUAUAUCGGCUGAUCUUCGGAACUUCCGGCGACCCCGGUUCGAUUCCGGGUACGACCU